rnacentral:rRNA from 1 species
GACGUAGGGCGCGAGCGUGUCCGGAUUUAUUGGGCGUAAAGAGCUCGUAGGCGGCUUGUCGCGUCGAAUGUGAAAACUCGGGGCUCAACUCCGAGCUUGCAUUCGAUACGGGCAGGCUAGAGUUCGGUAGGGGGAGACUGGAAUUCCUGGUGUAGCGGUGAAAUGCGCAGAUAUCAGGAGGAACACCGGUGGCGAAGGCGGGUCUCUGGGCCGAUACUGACGCUGAGGAGCGAAAGCGUGGGGAGCGAACAGG